CCUACGGGUGGCAGCAGUGGGGAAUAUUGGACAAUGGGCGCAAGCCUGAUCCAGCAAUACCGCGUGUGUGAAGAAGGCUCUAGGGUCGUAAAGCACUUUCAGUAGGGAGGAAAGGGUUGUAGUUAAUACCUGCAAUCUGUGACGUUACCUACAGAAGAAGCACCGGCUAACUCCGUGCCAGCAGCCGCGGUAAUACGGAGGGUGCAAGCGUUAUCCGGAAUCAUUGGGUUUAAAGGGUCCGUAGGCGGACUGAUAAGUCAGAGGUGAAAUCCCACAGCUCAACUGUGGAACUGCCUUUGAUACUGUCAGUCUUGAGUCAUUUGGAAGUAGAUAGAAUGUGUAGUGUAGCGGUGAAAUGCAUAGAUAUUACACAGAAUACCGAUUGCGAAGGCAGUCUACUACGAAUGUACUGACGCUGAUGGACGAAAGCGUGGGGAGCG
rnacentral:rRNA from 1 species